AGAAUCAACGCUGGCGGCGUGCCUAACACAUGCAAGUCGCACGAGAAAGUGGAGCAAUCCACGAGUAAAGUGGCGCACGGGUGAGUAACACGUGAAUAAUCUACCUCCGAGUGGGGAAUAACUGAGAGAAAUCUUAGCUAAUACCGCAUAAUACCCACGGGUCAAAGCAGCAAUGCGCUUGGAGAGGAGUUCGCGGCAGAUUAGUUAGUUGGCGGGGUAAUGGCCCACCAAGACGAUGAUCUGUA
rnacentral:rRNA from 1 species